AUGAACACUGCGAAGCUGUCAGAGGCUGCCUCCAGUGCCUGGGCAAAGUGGAACAUGUUCAUGAGUGAAGCAGCGCAAGGUGAAUUCAUGCACCAGCUGGUGCUCCUCUCUGAUCCCAGCAUUCAAGGAGACCAAGGCAGGAAGAUCGCCAGCAGGAAGAUGGCCGUGAGCGUGAGCUCAGUGUCAGCCGGGGCUACCUAGUAAGACCUUGUCUCAACAAACUGAUGAGCUCCGACAAAGUUAGAAAACUUUCCACCUCCCAUUCUCUGUCCCCUUUCCCAGAUCUCCAUUCCUCUCACUGAAAACCCUGCACUUCACAGAGGGAAGCCCCAGGGGCCCUCUGCUCGGACAUCUGGGAACAAUCCUGGGCUGCUGUGCCUCGGCCUGGCUCCUGCUCCCAGACUUGGAUGUCCUGUCCCACCUCUUUGUAGUCAUCCCUGCUGUGUUCUGCCUUCUGGGCUCUUCAAGGGUCCACCUGAUGUCACUCAGGGCAGGGCCAGCAUUGCCCGAUGGCAGGAGCUGGGAAUGGGUGGAGCAUCUGUGAGGCUCAGGGCUC
rnacentral:lncRNA from 1 species